GUUCUCGUAUAACUGUUAUUUGUUUAAUUGCGAAUUCCAGAAUUUUUAUGUUUUUAAAAGCCGAACUUCAGAACACGCAGUCAAGUAAGGAUUGCACAAGUUUAGGAAUCUCAAUUUCUAGUACCUGGUUUCUACCAAUUUCACUAUUCCUGCUAGUCACUAUAAAAUUGAGAUGGGAACCCUUCCAGUAAUCUAGAAGCUUUUACAAUUCACCACCAAAAUCUUAAAAAUCACUUGUAUGGAAUUAAAUGGUAUAGAAUUCUGCUUUUUGCUAAAUAUAGAGUCAAUGUAAUGGUAGAACACAGACAAAAAUGGAGGGCAAGGUUUGUAAUUAUUGUUCAAGAGCCAAACUAUUCGGAAGCUUGUAUUUUUCCUGAAGUGUUGACACGAGAAAAGAUUUUUGUGGGAGGCCAAGAAUGGAAUUAGAAAAAAAAACCGCGAUUUUUCACCAGUUCUUUUUGUAAUAGGUUGGUUUAGCAGGUUGUCAUUCUGACAUCAAAAUUAAGUCGCUGAAUGUGAUCAAAAUUUGGCAAAAUUCGUCUAUUAAUUAAAUACUGAAAACUAAUUUUCACAAAAUAUAAAAUCAAUUCACAAAA
rnacentral:lncRNA from 1 species